GGCGGGCCCGGAUGAGGAAGUGAUGUGAGCGGGCUGCGGAGCGGCGAGGAGCGGAGCGGCCGCGGGGUAAACUGUGAAAGACAGUGGGCCUCCAGCUGCCCCCAUGCUCUCAUCUGGGGUGGAAUGUCUCCUUGACUCCUCUGCCUGUACUGGCACUGAGGACCUGCACAAGGGGCUGCCGCUCAGCAUCCCCGCUGGCCUUAUGGCUGUGUCUGAGCCCGGUGCUGGGUUAGAUGCAAAGCCUGAUGUGUCCACACCUGAGCUGGCAUGCAGUAAUGAGCUGUCAUCUGAGCACCACAGGACUUUGGAGGCAAAAGGCUUUGGUGAGGGGGCAGCACAUCUGGAUGAUAUGGUCAGAGAGGUUCACUGGGAGCCAGCAGAACUGCUUACUGAAGAAUUACUGAAUGAUGGAGAUGUUGAAAACAAUGAAGAAAACAAACAAACUCGGAGGAAACAAGACUGUUCUAGUGGUGAACGCCAGCAAGGAGGUAAAGAAGCAAAAGAUGCCGAAGAGGACCACGCUGAAUGCUGUGUUCUAAAUCCUGGGGGAAAAUGGUUAAAACAAGAGGCUCCUCAUCUAAGCAAGCAUGAGGUAAAUUCUUCAGCAACCUGUUGCACCGAAAUAGCAGCAUUUCUGAAGAUCAAAGGAGAAAACCAAGCAAACGUUCAGGUGACAGCUGAAACUCUCCCAAAGCUUACUGAAGAAGCACAAGGUAUGAAGGCUGAUGGGACUAGAAUAUUUAGUAAAGCAGGAUACCAGAAUGGCAGUGUGAGUAAAGGUCUUCCACCUGAGAGCGAUGAAUGCCCAGACACAGACACAGUCAUGGCUAGAGCUGGGGUUUCAGAAACCACCAGGCUAGAUUUCAUAGAGCCUUUAAAAGUUAUGGACGUUGAAUCAACAACAGAACACUCACAAGAAAUAAGUGAAUAUAAUGGGUUGAAAGCCCAUGCUGACAUGUCAUUGAGAACAGAGGGCAAUGUUGUAUCUAUUUUGGAGACUACAGAAGAAAAGUUACCUAGACAAAAUCUUGCUAAUGAAUUCAGUACAUCACUUGAUAAUUGCCAGACUUAUCAGCAGGAAGAAGAAAACAAUACUUGUGACUUCUGUACCGUUCUUCCACCUAGACAUAAUGAACCUGUUAGGUUAUCAUCAGUAGGAAGUUGUAGAAUGCUCUCCAUAAAAAGUUCCCAAGGUAUGUGUUCGGUUCUGGAAAGUGUCUGUUAUCUGGACUUUAGAAAUAUGUCACUAGACAACAACAGUACUGCAAUCCAUGGAAUUAUCAAUGAAACCUCAAAAAAGCAUCUUCCUGAAAGCAUGACAAGUCAGACUAAUUAUGAUCACAGAACUGGAUUUGUAAAGGACUGCAUCUCCAAGUCCAUGCCAGUAGAGCAUCUCUCAGCACUAAGUAACAAAGAAUUAUCUGGUGAUAAAACAGAUGAUGGGGAAACAAAUGAUAGUACAGGUAAAUCAUACAGCUCUGAAUUUGAAGAGGCUGCUGAAAUCCAGAGAGAGAUUGCUGUGGGAGGUAACACUGACGCUCAAGAGAGUGCUCAUUUUGAGCACUGUCAUCCUUCAGUUUUCAGUUCUAUUGCUAUUCAGGAUCUUUCUGUCAAGCAAGAAGAUGAAUCACCUGAGGUACAACUGUUUGAACAGAAAUCUCAGAGUAAUACAAUGUUAGAGUUUUCUGGCAAAGAAACUAAUUUGAUUUAUGCACUAAAUGUACUUCUACCUCCUGUUGCACAAAAAUCAAGAGAGCCUCACUGUGAUGAGUGUCUGUUUUGUACUGCUAAUGAAGCCGCAAGCAAGGACAAGGCUCAGGAUAAUCUAUCUGGAAAAGAAUCAUUUGGUUCUUCUGGGACAACAGAGGAACAAGUUGCUGAAUUUGUGCUGCAUAAAGACAAAUUCAAGUCCUCAAUAAAUCCCAAGGCUUCUGAUGAAUCCAGUAUCACAGGCCACAUUUCCCAGAAGAACAGGAAGUCUUCAGAAGGGAAGGUAGAGAGUGUAGAUGCUGGUUUAGAAAAUGAACAUAGCAACACAUGGAAUUCUAGUAAUCAGACUUUAAAAGACCAGCAUACAGCUGCCACUACUUCCAGUAUCUUAUCAAGUAGUACACCUGUGGAUGAUGCUGUCCUGGAAAGUAAUUUUUUUAAGGCUGAUAUUGAGAUGAAGAUUGAUGAAAAUGAUAGUUCGGAAGGAGAAAUUUCAGGUGGAUAUGGUAGUAAAAAGACAAUCAGUUUUCUGGAAGAACAUUGCCCUUUGUCAUGUAGAUCUCUUCCCUAUCAAGAUGACUGGGGCAACAGAUGCGUAGCUCUGCGUGGGAUAAAUGAUAUUUCCACAGAAAAAAGCAUGUUUUUCCUAACUUACGAUGCAGAGGAGUCUACUGCUACCUUAGUAGGAGAUGACAUUUCAAAUAAGAAUAUGGAAUCUGAAAAUAUGAAACAAUUUAAUCUUUGUAAAUUAACAGAUUGCAGUGAAAUUAUUUGUGACAAAGAUGAGGCAAAAGACCAAUUUAGCGUGUGUGCUGUCCACAGAGAUGAAUUUGAUAAAAUAGGCAAUUGGAGAAGUAAGACUGGUGAACAGCUAUUAGUCAGAAAUUUGAACAAAAAAAAUUAUGUUCAUAAUUUUGAAUUUUGCAACUCUCCAUUACUCCUGAAGAUGAGAGAACUGGGCAUAUCUGGGAAGAAAGGAAUGUCAUCACUCACAGCUAGUUCUGAGUACAGUUUUUCUAUCUGUGGUGCAUGUCCAUUAUUCAACAAUAUGAAUAUGCAAACAAGACGUGCUAUACAAACAGAAAUGACAAUUUCUCCAAUGGAAAAUCAGUUUCUUGCACACCAGAGUGAGGUCUAUGGCCUGGUUCCUGGCAGAAAGCAACAUGUAGAAAGCUUAAACAAAGAGCCAAAUACUGGUUUACAGUAUAUCGCUACUUCUGCAGAGGAAGCUAAACUGUCAAUCAGCUCUAGCCAACAUGAAGAUAUGCUAUUAAAAAAAGGUGAUGACCUGACUCUGAUAGUUCAUAAACAUGUAAGAGAAGAUGGUUUUCAAAGAACUGUAAAAGAGAAUGCAGUGGAUUUUGAGUCUUCAAGUGGUUUAAGAAACACAGACUACUCGGCAUGCACAGGUUUUGUCAGUGAUGUAAUUCAAGAGAAGAUGACAAAACUAAAAGAAAAAGAGAACAGCUGUGGAAGAGAAGAUAAAGGAAUUCAUGAAGAAAGCUUUUUUGAUAGCAAAUCACAAUAUUCACAGCAUGGUUUGGCCAGCAAAUGUGUGAAAGACAAAGCAGAGCUAGUAUUUUCAGGAAAUACAACGCAGCAAUCCUUGGCAAAGAUGAAGUGGUUAACUGGGGACCAAGCAAAUACAGUUAAUAUCUCAUUUUUGCCCUUCUCAUCAAUUCAUGGGAGUCUGUUUUAUAAGCCAAAAAAAAUGCAUGUACUUUCAGAGAUGGAAAACAGAAGUCUGAGAAUAAAGUCUAUCUUAAAUAACUCUUGCUCACAGUUAAUGUUGGAGCCUGGUAAAGAAACUGAUGCUGACAAGGACAUGGGUCCAUCCUGUUUUGUGAAGUUUAACAUCCAGGAUUCUUCUAAUGACACUCACGGGGAUUCAGAAACACUAUCAGCUCUGAACUUAGCUAACUCUUUGCCUCAGAAAGAAAAGUUAUUUGUGUCAUCUGAGAAUACAGGCAUAGAUAAUAGUGAUUCAUCUUCAGAUGAAAUUUGUUGUAAAGGUUCUUCAGUGACAAAACCUCUUUCUGUAACAAUAUACAUUAGGAGAGAAGCUAGCAAUACUGAAAUACAGUCUUCAGAGGAUGAAAAGGCAACUAGCUCUCUGAAAGGUGCAAAAAGUCAAACUGUUUGUGCAUGCAACAAAGAAAGGCAGAGAGUUGAGAGGCAUGGUGUGCUAACUGCAAGAGUCAUGGAUGUGACCUUACUGAAAAGUGCUGAUUGUGGAGAGAAGUUGAAGUAUGCAUGUACAGAAGAGAAGAUGGAAAGAGAAGUGUCUUAUAAAAAAAAGUUGCCCAUACACUCCUUACUUGAUGGAGAAAAUUGCUUAUGGGCCUCGUUAGAAGGUUCAGAAGAGUCUAGUAGUAAAACAGUUACUGUCAGUACUGAGAACUAUGAAAAAGGUUUUGAAGAAAUCCCAAGACCUGACCUAAGCAGUCUUUCAAAGGAAAAAAACGCUACAAAGCCUGCAAGCUUCACUCAUCCCAGUUUACUUUCAGAAGCUGUGCAAGACUGUCAAACUGCAGGUGCAUCUGACACAGAAACUUCACCAGAAUUCAAAUACAAUGAAAUGAACAUGCUGUCAAACAGUUGCAAAGAAUCAUUACCAAAUUAUGUAGCUCAAUGUGAAGUAUGUGUGCCUUACAAAUUAAAUGCACAGAGUAAAGAUAAUACAAAGGAAAUUACAGGAUGUCAAGACGCUAUACCAGCUCAUUCAGUUUCCAUGGAAAAUGAGACUUCAGAUUCAGUGAGAUUUGAUAAAGUAGACAAAUGUCAGGCACGUAAACGAAAGAAAAAGUAUGAGGAGGUGAAAGUGCACGGGUCAGACAAGGCAAAACAAGAAAAGAAGGCAGCAUACAAAGCGAAAGCAAAAGUUGCAGUGCAUCCAAGCAUAUUGUACAGUUCUGAACUUUUAUGCAGUUCUUCAAAUGAGUUGGUGAUGUCAAGAAAUACAAAGUUUGCAAGUCCUUCAAAGGACAUUUUUGUUGUUAGAAGCAGUGAAAAUAAACUGUGUAGCACUUUACAAGAAAUCAAAAGGCCAAAGAUUACCACUGAUACUACUAGUUCACGUUUUUUAAAGACUCAGGAUUCAGAAAUGGAAAACCUGAACCUUAAGUCAGGUUAUAAUGGAAUUCUUGGUGCCUUUGGAACUAGAAAUAAACUAAGAGGACCUCUCCCAUUAAAAAUACAGCCUGGAAGAACAUGCAAAAAAGUUCCCACGUCAUAUCAACUAGAUACUGUAAGAAAAAUAAAAAAAACUAAAAGUUCAACUCUUCUGGAGCCUCCCUUAGAAAUGCCCCCUAAACAGGAAAACACAGUCCUCAAAUCUUUGUACUUUGCCUAUAAAUCACCAACAGUGAAAAAGGAAAUAGCCAUGAGAUUUGUCCAUAUGCCAAGGCAGAAGGCCAAGAGGUGCAGUUUGCUGAGCAGCUUGAAAUUCAGAAAAUGUACCAAAGAACCAGCAUUACUGAGCAAGCUGUCUGCAAUAGCCAGCAAAUUACUGGUACCUGCCACAAGCAUCCAUACCUUGGAAUCUCUGCCGUAUUCUUCUGAAAUUCUUCCAGUGGCUGCGAGGUACAGCCAACGUAGAUCUAAAAAUCUAUUGGAAGCUUUCUCUUGCAUUAACAGGAACUUACACUCACGCUGGGCUGACAGUUGGUGUACCAAGAUGUUCAGCUUUCAAUCUUUGGCACUUUAUUCAGUAGGAUCUACCAAAAUACCUUCUUUAGAGUCGAGCAACAAUUCUCCAUCGUCUUUCUUGAAUACCCCAGUGUUCCCAAUUUCUUUUCACAUAAAAUUGGACUCCAGUCCUGUGACAGACCUCACACGGACUACAUCUCAGCACUCUGUACAUCACCGACUGGUUUUGGAAGAAAUGCCUGCACCACCUUCAAAGUGGACUUUCCUCCUUUCUCAGAGCUGUUCAGAUGCAACAGCAAUCAAGGAAGAUUCCAGUCAAGAUCAUGAGCUGCAUGCCCCUCUCUCUGUAACAACCCCAGAGGUUGUUGCACUUCAUCCUGAUCACAGAAGAAAUGCCAUAGCUAAAAGAACAGGAAGUUGCUCCAUGCUUGGCCUUCAUACCGUGUUAGCACUUUCUUCACCUGGAUGUUACAGGAUUUGGACGAGAAGAAGAAACUUAACCAGUCAUAUUCCUACCAUCCAGAGACUAUUUAUAUCCCAAUUUAACCAGGGUCUGAAAGGGGCAUCUAAUGUAUCAGAUGACCUGGUCUCUUCCCUACCGUACUCCUUGGGCAGGGCGCUAUCCAUAUGGAGUCAGCAUGGUCCUUCUGCCCGUCCCUCCGAAAUCACUCCUCUUCAUUCCAGUCACUGCAAGUGGCAGCCAAGUGUGGGCAUCGAGAACAGAAUAUAUAAUGCAGAAAGGUGAGCUACUUCAUUAGGUCUUUUCAGAGUGACUGCAGAACAACUGGAUUUCUGAGGUAGGAGAGUUUUUUUCAGAGGUCUGACCCACAAGUUUCACUUGAACCACUAUAAAAUAUUGAAUAUCAGAUUAAGAAGAACCUAAUUGGGGCGGGGCGGGAAUUCAGUUAAAUCUUUAUUUGUAUUCCAUGACUGUUCUGUGCUAAUUGAAACCUCUUUACGUGUACUGUGCCUUUGAUAGUGUGUGCCAGAUGUAUUGAAUUGUUGGCACACGCAACCCUAGCUCCAUUUCAGGCCGGUGAGGAAUUUUGGUGUGUCUGUCCAUCUCAAUAUGAGUGGGAAGAGCACUGAUGUCUACUUUGCAUAUUUCAUUUAACUUUCCUAACUGAAUUUGAAAUCUUUUUGCUGAGAAACAGACUAAAAGAAGAGGUUCCUAGUGCUGGUAUGAGAUUUUUGCAUGCUCUUGUGCAAACUUUUCACCCAUUACGUCUCAGUUACUGCUACCUGAGACACAGGACAGUUCAGUCCCUGAUCUUGCAGUCUUGAGAUUCCUGGACAGACUGUAAGUUCAUAAAUCCGUUUCAUUAACUCUUGUGUUUAAUGUGGCAGUCUGUCAAGAACUGUUGAAUUUGACUUUUAUAUAAUUAAUACUGCAUUUUACUUUGCAUAAGUGGAGAAAAUACCUGUAAGUUUAUCACUUGCUAGUAUAAAUUCUCAUUUCUACUAGAAAGAUUUGAGUAAGAGUAUGAAAUAACUGCUCCAUUUUGUGAGUUCUCUGCACUAAAAGAUAGAAUUUGAAUAAUGAUUCAGAGACAACUUUGCAGCAUAUUCUACAAGACCUGGUUUCUUUUUUUUGCCCCACAUGAGGCAAUAUUUCAGGCUGAAUUUUCUAGUGUACAAAUUAGUACUUUGGAAGUGAUCACACCAGUAAACACUAAGGUUUGAGCAAUUGGCUUAAAAUAAGACAGCUAUUUUGCUGUGAAUUACUUUUUCCUGAAGAAGAGAAGACAAGUGAAAUCUUAUCACUCUAUGUGAAAAAUGCCCAAAGUUAAAGUAGCAUAAAGCGCAGUUUGUUUUUUCUUCUUAGAUAUUUGAAAGGAAUUGAUGUAUCUGUCUGGGUACACUUAAUGCUUCUGGCCCACUUGGGUUUUCUUUAAAGUUAAUUUACUGUAGUGAAUUUAAGGCAAUAAGUCUGAAAGAAUGUUUCCAGAAUUGUAAGGAAAUGUAGAAAGUGAAUUCUAAUUUCUAAAAUAAUUGCACAAAAAGUAUAAUCAAAGGAUUUGGAUAUAAAAUAAUUGAAAGAAAAAAAAUAACCUUUAAAUAUAUUACACCAUUUUAGAUUCUGUUUUGCUAGAAAUUGAUAGCUUGUUCUCAUCAACUAAUAAUUCUUCUAAACAUAUUAACAGAAACAGUGGCAAAAGGAUAAUUCAGUAAUCUCCCUUAAAUUUGUUUACUCAAAAUCUGUAUGAUUGCAUAGAAAUAAAUAUAGAAAAUAUGUAUACCAUAUGUAAGAAAUUCUGGCUUAUAAAUACAGAAAUACAAGAAAGUGAAUUUGGUGCAGCAUGGAAGCAUUUUCAGCGCAGCUGAUUAUUUUUUAUUCUGUAGCAUUCCAGUCUGGCUGUAAUUUCGUUACGUCAGUACAUUCAGUACAUUUAGCUGCUAGUUUGGAAGAGCAGCAAGUACAAGAUUUGCUGUUUGAGGUAAUAAAAGCUGUUCCAGCUUACUCCUUUUUUUAUUGCUGUUAAUAGUAUGGACACAAAGUAAAGUUUAAUGUUAAAGGACCUAGAGCUGAUGUGCUGAUCUUUAUUAUUUUUUUACACCAUAGAUAUUACCAAACCUUAUGGAAGGGCCUCUGGUUAUUCUCGUUAAGUGUAUUCCAGUAACACUGUGGGAGUUAGAGACAGUAGAGAGACAAUUUAAUGAAAAUCCUUCUUUGCACUUUCUGCUGUUCCACCAUGCCCUUUUUUAUUUAGUAGAAAAAUUAUCCAUUAUUUUUGUUUGAUUUUAAAAGUUGUUUUUUAAUAAGGAAUCUAGACUUAAAUAGCAUUAGUUCAAGCAUUAGCUCAAAAAUUGCAAUUAUUUGUCUCCUUCUCUCUGUAUUUUCAUUUCCUUUUUCUUACUACUACAUUGUUAAGUGGAAGUAGAACUAUUUCCCUACCAAGCUAUCAGGGAAAUCUAGUUAUUAGCAGGCUAAGUGACAGAUGUGGUUUGCUACUGUAUUGCUCUUGCUACUACUUCUUACCCUUUCCAUUCCCAACAUUAGCAUUUUUUGUCUUACAGUCCAGAUAAUAUUAAGAAUAUUUUAACCCUUUUUUUUUUUUUUUUUUUAUAAUGUAGGUCUAACUUCUCUCUCUCUGUUUUUUUUUUUGUCUGUUGAACCAGCUAUGCCAUAUUACCACACUUACCUGUACAGGGUAUGGAAGCACUACAGACUGCAGGCCAUGAGAUAUGUCUGGAACCUCCAUUCCCUCUUCCACUACCAAACUCUUGCUUGCUUUCGGAAGCAUUGCCCCCUAUGCUUCCAGAACCUGAACUUCAGGUCCAUGCCCUUGAUGAAGCAGAUACUUCCAUUCCAGACUGUUUGAGAUCCCAAGAUGACACAGAACUGAAAAAAACUGAGCCAGAAAAGAGGCCAAAGAAAGUCUCACAGAUCCGAAUCAGGAAAACUGUUCCUAGGCUAGAUCAUAACCUUACUCCAAUGGGACUACCCAAACCAAAAAGGCUUAAGAAGAAAGAAUUUAGUCUAGAAGAAAUUUACACAAACAAGAACUACAAGUCCCCACCUCCAGCCAGGAGCUUGGAAACAAUCUUUGAAGAGCCCAAGGAAAAAAAUGGACACUUGAUUUCUGUCAGCCAGCAGAAGAGAAAGCGGAUUCUGGAGUUUCAGGACUUCACUGUUCCUCGAAAGAGAAAGGCACGAGGCAAAAUCAAAGCAGUGGGAAGUUUCACUCGAGCAAAAAAAGCUGCACCACAGAGUGCAGAGUUAGAUGCCCUUCUGAGUCAGAAGCUAAUGGACCUUGAAGAAUUUUUUGCAAAGGAGGAUGAGCAGGAGUUGUCUUCUAGCACUGGAGGGAGCCAUGAGCUGAAAAUGGUCCAGUGAGCUACUUUAGUAUGUAUCUUAGUCCUGUUGGGAGAAAUCUACUGAUUUCUUCAUACCUUACUCUACCACUCUCUUGUAAUAUCUGAUGAUCAAGUAUUGGCUGUGACCCACUAAGGUGCUAUUUAAUCUUUUUUUUUUUUUUUCUUUUUUGCUACUGGAGGGAUUCUCAUAGGGUCACGUGUGACUUAGCAUUCCUUCCCCAACCCCUGGAAGUUAUGGCUAACAUUUAGUUCUGUUUCAAGACCUUUCGAGGGGAGAGUGGUGGGAGUAUCAGGGAGGAAGUAGCGCACCUCCCAUGAUGCUGGGACUCUGUACUCCAAAAUCUUUGCACAUUGAAUUUGCUGUUACUACUGUAAUGGCUUUUUGAACAAUAUGACAUCAGAGUAUGUGGUGUUUGGUAAAGAUAAAUUUUAGCCAACACAUCCUUGAUAAUACCACUAAAUUUUUAAUAAUUAAAAAUAGCAUUCCUACCUUACUUUCAAUUAUUUCUUCCUUCUGUUUAUUUAGAAGGUUCCUUACGAAUUUCUAUGCCCUUCCUGGCUUCAGGCAGCAGAAGUUCCACAUAACUAGACUUUAAUGAACUUGCACUUUGUAUAUCCUUAUUUGCAGCACGAGGACCCCUUUUAACACGACUGAGAUUACAAAACAAAAAAAUAAGUAAUACUGUCAGAAAAGAUGAUGCCCACUGCUAUUUUUUCCUAAAUAGUGAGUUUUUGCCAAAUUGGCUGAUGCUUUAUACCCCUUCUCCAGAUGCAAAUCCUAUGAGUAUGUUAAGCCAUAGGGUAUGCAGGUAGAGCUUUUUAUUAGCUGAGCUGAGCUGCUGCAUACAAGAAGCACCAGCAAAACCUUUGAGACUCAUUCUGAAGCAAUUUUCAUUUCAGGAAAUAUAAUCAGCUUGAUUUUAACAUCCACUUUAGGUUUGUAAUUCAGAUAGCUCCCAACUAGAUAUUCUGUGUACAGCACUGUUUUAUGCAAUAGCUAGUGUUGUACAAAGAGCCUCCUAGCAUGUGUAAAAUAUUUUUUUUCAUUAAGUGAGACCAUUUGUCAUUAGAUGAUGCAGCACUGGGCAGUUCUCAGCCAUAAGUUUUAAGAGAAGAGCGCUCGCUUCUGGGAUAACUUCUGUUAAACUUACUUGAAGAGUAAUUCAGAAUGAAUGCUAGCUGCAGUACAGGUAAUUUCUGUCCUCUAGUGCCUAUAGAAGUUAUUCAUGUGAAGCUGUCUUUGCUGGGAUGCUCAAAUUUAACUAGUUUAUUCUUUCAUUUGUCACUUAAAACUUGCACUUUCUUAGUUACCUAUCCAUAUAAUAAAGUUUAUAUUCACAUUCAGAAUAAGCAAGUAUCUAGGGGGCAGGUAUUUUGAUAAAGUCCCAAUAAAUGAAGAACUGAAAAUACCAUCGCUAUCUUCUGCUGCCCUGCAUUUCGGUUACUGGCCUAGCAGAAAACUCAGAAUUAACAAGUAAUCUGUUGAAUUCCAGAGUUUGGAAAGUGGAGAGAUGGAAGAAGAAUAUUACAUUCUCUGUGCCUGAAUCUUGAAAUAAAUGUAUUCUGGGUUUGUUUUGCUCUCAGUUUAUAUGCUGGGAUUAAUGACAGUUUACAUUCUUGUUUUGGAGGCUGAUUAAUCAGGAAGACUCAGGAAAAGAGAGAGGUGCAGACUUAGAGUAGUGGUAAUUUGGAUUUUGAGGAUAAAAUAACAAGGUAGGUAAACUUUGAACAUACUGACACGCUGUUUCAGCGGCAAGGUCUGGUUAACCUAAUUGAGCUGCUGGGGAACAUUUUAAUUGAUCUUAUUUUUAUAGAAAUCCCUAAAAAUUAAAAAAAAAAAAAAAAAGGUCAACUACCUUUCAAAAAAUAUUUGAAACUUUCUCUAUGUUCGCUUAUUACCCAAAUAUUGACUGGAUGGAAGCUGUUGCAAGAGUGAUAUAUAUAUACACAUAUAGAUAGAUAUAUUUUUAUGGUUUUAUGCUGUAGAAUGGGAUUAUGACACAGUGUUAAUUAACCUUCUGUUAAAAUGGAAGGCUUUUACUGUUGUGAUAGAAUUGAGCUGUAACCUCACUGGGGCUUUUAAGAAAACAGUAUGGGUGAGAGGGAGGGAAUUGGGUCCAAGCAAAGUUCAAGCUUCGGAUGUGCUUCAAAAUAUGGAACUUUUGUGGGUUUUUUUUUUUUUUUUUUUUGUCUGCUUACUUGCUCUGUCUUGUUUCUAAUUAAUUGCUUUGAAAUAACACUUCUUAACUUUUUAAUAGUUAUAGCAGAGGGGGCAUAAGAAAGAAAACACUUGAUCCCCUUUUAUUUACAAUAAUUGGAGGAGUAAGAAAAUGAUGUAGCAGUUGCCUAGGUUGUCCCAGACCUUAGGGUCUAUGGAUUAUUCUGAUUUGGUUUUAUAUUUUUAUGAUAGAGUUGUAAGCUAAUUGAGACAAAGCAUCUUUUUUUCUUCCUCCCUACAUCCUCCUCAGGAACAGAUAUCAGUCAUGUAUGUGCACUUUUUUUCCUCUCCCACUUCUGUCCCUACUUACAACACUCAUGGAACAACCUCGUUCCCUGUGGCUGUUCUUUGUACACUGGGAGUGAUGAUGGUGCAAAGGUAGGUAACUGCCACUCUGAGCUGCUUCUGUCUCAGAUUUUUGAAGGAAGAAAAUACAGAGAAUGUAUGUUUGGGAGUCUUAAAUACUUCCCUUGCGGAAGAAUAUGUACAACUCUCUUUUCAUAGAGAGAGCCUACUCCAGUAAUUUUUUUCUUUGUAACAUCAUGGAAAGAUAUUUGUACAUAUUGCUCACAGAAUGAUGUCCAGAGCAGCUUGAGAAGAAAUACAAAGCUUUUGACAUGUACCAUCACAUAGCAGUUGUUUUUCAGAGACAGGCAGCUUUUUUUACUAAAUUUGCUGAUUAUGAGGGUUAGAUUUUUUUUUUCUUAAAAACAUAAAAUCUUAUUUUCAUCAUGCUGCAACUGAAGCAGCUAAGACUACUUAAUGUACAUUAGAAAGUUUGCCUGCCUGGCCUUGUAGCUGCAUACAUUUGAGUUCUAAUGCUUGCUGGGUAUGAUCUUCUGCAAGCAGUUCUCAUUUAUUGCAUUUCAUAUGGGUUGGGCCUUUGGUAUAUUGUGUUCCAGGUGCUCUUCUAGGAUAUGGAUGCUAACUGUGGAUUAAAUGUCUAUAUGAUGCUAUCAUGUCAACAGAUAACUCAGUGAGAGUUUGUACGCCUGUGCCAUUAGCCUCCGUCAAGCUCUUGGCAUUUUAUUUGUUCAAUUUUGUGUGAAUUUAAAAUUUUACUGUUUCUUUUGUGUGUGUUUUUAAUUUAUGGAAAUAAAUUUUUCUGAGAACCUU